rnacentral:rRNA from 1 species
CAGCAGGCGCGAAACCUUUACACUGCACGCAGGUGCGAUAAGGGGACCCCGAGUGCGAGGGCGUUCGUCCUCGCUUUUGAAUACCGUAAACUGGUAUUCGAAUAAGAGCUGGGCAAGACCGGUGCCAGCCGCCGCGGUAAUACCGGCAGCUCAAGUGAUGGCCGAUCUUAUUGGGCCUAAAGCGUCCGUAGCCGGCCAGAUAAGUCCAUCGGGAAAUCCGCUCGCUUAACGAGCGGAAGUUCGGUGGAAACUGUUUGGCUUGGGGCCGGAAGACCUGAGGGGUACGUUUAGGGUAGGAGUGAAAUCCUGUAAUCCUAGACGGACCGCCGGUGGCGAAAGCGCCUCAGGAGGACGGACCCGACGGUGAGGGACGAAAGCUAGGGUCACGAACCGGAUUAGAUACCCGGGUAGUCCUAGCUGUAAACGAUGCCCGUUAGGUGUGGCACUGGCUACGAGCUAGUGCUAUCGCCGUAGUGAAGACGUUAAACGGGCCGCCUGGGAAGUACGUCCGCAAGGAUGAAACUUAAAGGAAUUGGCGGGGGAGCACUACAACCGGAGGAGCCUGCGGUUUAAUUGGAUUCAACGCCGGG